rnacentral:rRNA from 1 species
AGAGUUUGAUCCUGGCUCAGGACGAACGCUGGCGGCGCGCCUAACACAUGCAAGUCGAACGAGCGAGAGAGAGCUUGCUUUCUCGAGCGAGUGGCGAACGGGUGAGUAACGCGUGAGGAACCUGCCUCAAAGAGGGGGACAACAGUUGGAAACGACUGCUAAUACCGCAUAAGCCCACGGGUCUGCAUCGACCAGAGGGAAAAGGAGUGAUCCGCUUUGAGAUGGCCUCGCGUCCGAUUAGCUGGUUGGUGAGGUAACGGCCCACCAAGGCGACGAUCGGUAGCCGGACUGAGAGGUUGAACGGCCACAUUGGGACUGAGACACGGCCCAGACUCCUACGGGAGGCAGCAGUGGGGAAUAUUGCACAAUGGGGGAAACCCUGAUGCAGCGACGCCGCGUGGAGGAAGAAGGUCUUCGGAUUGUAAACUCCUGUUGUUGGGGAAGAUAAUGACGGUACCCAACAAGGAAGUGACGGCUAACUACGUGCCAGCAGCCGCGGUAAAACGUAGGUCACAAGCGUUGUCCGGAAUUACUGGGUGUAAAGGGAGCGCAGGCGGGAAGACAAGUUGGAAGUGAAAUCCAUGGGCUCAACCCAUGAACUGCUUUCAAAACUGUUUUUCUUGAGUAGUGCAGAGGUAGGCGGAAUUCCCCGGUGUAGCAGUGGAAUGCGUAGAUAUCGGGAGGAACACCAGUGGCGAAGGCGGCCUACUGGGCACCAACUGACGCUGAGGCUCGAAAGUGUGGGUAGCAAACAGGAUUAGAUACCCUGGUAGUCCACACCGUAAACGAUGAUUACUAGGUGUUGGAGGAUUGACCCCUUCAGUGCCGCAGUUAACACAAUAAGUAAUCCACCUGGGGAGUACGACCGCAAGGUUGAAACCCAAAGGAAUUGACGGGGGCCCGCACAAGCAGUGGAGUAUGUGGUUUAAUUCGACGCAACGCGAAGAACCUUACCAAGUCUUGACAUCCGUUGACCGCUGUAGAAAUACAGUUUUCCUUCGGGACAGCGAGACAGGUGGUGCAUGGUUGUCGUCAGCUCGUGUCGUGAGAUGUUGGGUUAAGUCCCGCAACGAGCGCAACCCUUAUGGUCAGUUACUACGCAAGAGGACUCUGGCCAGACUGCCGUUGACAAAACGGAGGAAGGUGGGGAUGACGUCAAAUCAUCAUGCCCUUUAUGACUUGGGCUACACACGUACUACAAUGGCGUUAAACAAAGAGAAGCAAGACCGCGAGGUGGAGCAAAACUCAGAAACAACGUCCCAGUUCGGACUGCAGGCUGCAACUCGCCUGCACGAAGUCGGAAUUGCUAGUAAUCGUGGAUCAGCAUGCCACGGUGAAUACGUUCCCGGGCCUUGCACUCACCGCCCGUCA